rnacentral:miRNA from 1 species
GACCUCAUCAACCGGAAGGGAUUCCUUCUGGUUGAUGAUGUGCAAAUACCUCAUUGAUUGGAAGGAAUCCCUUCUGGUUGAUAAGGUG